rnacentral:rRNA from 1 species
AAUUUUGGACAAUGGGCGCAAGCCUGAUCCAGCCAUGCCGCGUGAGUGAAUAAGGCCUACGGGUUGUAAAGCUCUUUCGGUCGGAAAGAAAUCGCGCAGGCUAAUACACUGCCAGGAUCACUGUACCGUCAUAAGAAGUACUGGCUAACUACCUGCCAGCAGCCGCGGUAAUACGUAGGGUGCGAUCGUUAAUCGGAAUUACUGGGAGUAAAGCGUGCGCAGGCGGUUGAUUAAGACAGGCGUGAAAUCCCCGGGCUUAACCUGGGAACUGCGCUUGUGACUGGUCAGCUAGAGUACGGCAGAGGGGGGUAGAAUUCCACGUGUAGCAGUGAAAUGCGUAGAGAUGUGGAGGAACACCGAUGGCGAAGGCAGCCCCCUGGGCCGAUACUGACGCUCAUGCACGAAAGCGUGGGUAGCAAACAGG